AUAUUGAAUUAAGUAGUUCAUAGAAUAUUCGCAUCGGGGCGCGACAGUAGAUUGCAAUAUCGAGUUCACGACAAUGCAGUUUAUGAUUCAUGGUCGUGAUGACGUCAGAUUUGGAAGCACAAGCCGUGAGCGCGUUUUAAAGCCGAGUAGGGCGUGAAAGUGUGUGUUGUGCCGCUUAUUUCGCUCCGCGUUUAUUUGGCGCACCCCGUAGUACCUGGAAAAUAUGUGCAAAUAGUAAACGUGUGCGCGUUCAAAUGCAUCCUUAAUAAUACGCGCUUAUCAGAGACAAUUAUGUUCGGUGCUGCAUUUACGUGAUUGAAAGUGAAAGAAGAAAAAAAAAAAAGAAGAAGAAGAAAAAAAAAAAAAGGAUAGAUAGGGAUACCAUGUUCCGCUACAUUCCAAUUUUUAAAGGGUGUAACAGGCAGGUGGAAUACGUUGACAAGCGUCAUUGCUCUUUGCCUAGCGUCCCCGACGAUAUCCUGAGAUAUUCGAGGAGCUUGGAGGAACUUUUAUUGGAUGCGAAUCACAUACGAGAGUUACCGAAGAACUUCUUCCGUCUUCAGAGGCUAAGAAAACUCGGUUUAAGCGACAAUGAAAUUGGUCGUUUGCCACCGGACAUACAAAAUUUUGAGAACCUCGUGGAGUUGGACGUCUCCAGGAACGAUAUACCAGACAUUCCUGAAAACAUUAAAAACUUGCAAGCGUUACAAAUAGCAGAUUUUAGUAGUAACCCUAUUCCUAAACUUCCAGCAGGCUUUGUAGAGCUAAGAAAUUUAACUAUUCUUGGCCUGAAUGAUAUGUCCUUAACAAAAUUGCCACCUGAUUUUGGAAGCUUGGAAGCAUUACAGUCGUUGGAGUUACGCGAAAAUUUACUCAAGGUUUUACCCGAAUCCCUUUCUAAACUGAAUAAACUUGAACGACUAGACCUUGGUGAUAAUGAACUUGAAGAAUUACCACCUCACAUAGGAAAAUUACCAGCAUUACAAGAAUUAUGGUUGGAUCACAAUCAAUUACAGCACUUACCUCCUGAAAUUGGUGAAUUAAAAACAUUGGCGUGUUUAGAUGUUUCGGAAAAUCGUUUAGAAGAUCUUCCUGAAGAAAUCAGUGGUUUAGAAUCUUUAACGGAUUUACAUUUGUCACAAAAUGUUAUUGAAAAAUUGCCAGAUGGAAUUGGUGAUCUUAAAAAGUUAACUAUACUUAAAGUUGAUCAAAAUAGAUUAUCUACGCUUAAUCCAAAUAUAGGAAGAUGCGAGAAUUUGCAAGAAUUAAUUCUUACAGAAAAUUUUCUUUUAGAAUUGCCUGCAUCAGUAGGAAAUCUUCUUAAUUUAAAUAAUUUAAAUGUGGAUAGGAAUAGUCUACAAAUUCUGCCUAUAGAAAUUGGAAAUUUAAAACAAUUAGGUGUACUUUCUUUAAGAAAUAACAAAUUGAAGUACCUUCCAGCAGAAGUUGGCCAAUGUUUAUCUCUACACGUUUUGGAUGUAUCUGGAAACAGGUUACAGUACUUGCCAUAUUCUUUAAUAAAUCUCAAUUUGAAAGCAGUUUGGUUGAGUGAAAAUCAAGCUCAACCUAUGUUAACUUUUCAAAAUGAUAUUGAUGAAGAAACUGGAGAAAAAGUACUUACUUGUUUCCUUUUGCCUCAAUUAGAAUAUCAUCCUGAUGAUUCCGGAAGAUUAGGUACUACGUUGGUUGGAUUGAGAUCUACUGUUCAGGGAGAAAUACCUGAGCUUAGCGAUGACGAAGGGUGGCAAGAACGGGAAGCAUCUAGAACACAUUCGGUAAAAUUCACAGAUGAACCACCAGAUGCAGAUAAGGAGACGCCAUUUGUUCGACAAAAUACACCACAUCCGAAGGAGCUAAAAGCAAAGGCUCAUAAAUUGUUUUGUAAAGGAAAAAGCGACAGUAGAUCUGGUUCUACCGAAGAACAGGAUGUUUCUCAAACAUUUGGCUUAGAUAAAACUGAAUCAGAAACACCGAUUAAACCACCUAACGAAGAAGUACAAAAUAUAAUAGAACAAGAUCAAUCUUCGGAGCAUGAAAUUUCUAGAGAGGAACAAAAGGAAUUGGAGACAUUACCCGAUAGUACUGAUACUCAAACUAACAACGAGACUGCUGUAUUUUCUUCGCAUGGUGCUACAGAACCGACUGUUAAUACUGGUUCUGAUGGGACCAUAUCAGAGUUAAAAGGAAAGGACGAUGACGAAUCAGAAGCUGAAGAUAUGCAAAGGCACGUAGAAUUUUCUGUUAUAGAAGAUACAGAUUACGAAGGAUCUGGUGAAACAAAUAAACCAAAUAGACUUCAUCGUCGUGAUACGCCACAUCAUUUAAAAAAUAAACGUAUUCAUACAGCUAUUGACAAAGAAAAAGUAGCUUCGCUUAUUGCACAGGCAUUAAUGAAAAAAACUGACGAAACUCCUACAACAAUUGUCCCUGAACAAACAGAAUCUUCAGAAAUUAUAGAUGGACACAGCCAAGGUGCAACAUCGGAUGCAGAACCAACGUUAGAAGUAAGGGAAGAACAGUAUGAAAUUCAUAUUGAACGAACGACAGGUGGACUUGGCUUGUCUAUAGCUGGAGGUAUUGGAUCAACCCCAUUUAAGGGUGACGAUGAAGGCAUUUUCAUAUCCAGAGUUACAGAAGGUGGACCAGCCGAUUUAGCUGGUUUAAGAGUAGGGGAUAAAGUAAUAUCUGUUAAUGGAGUUUCAGUAGUAAAUGUGGACCAUUAUGAUGCUGUUGAAGUUCUCAAAGCAUGCGGGCGUGUACUGAUAUUAGUUGUAUUAAGAGAAGUAACAAGAAUAGUGCCAUCAUAUGAGCAGAAUUCAAUGAGAAAAGACUCAUUGUGCUCUAGUUUGAGCACAAGUAGAGCACCAAGCGCAACAUCUUACGUAUCAUCUACAGCUUUGUCAUAUAAUUUAGAAAAUGGUGAUACUUGUAGUUCACACGAAGCAGCUAAGGUAAAAAAGCUUCCUGAACCAUUACCUACAAAAACAGGUAGCGAACCUAUGGUGUCUGUUCUUAUACAUACAACACUAAUACGGGACCAAAAUGGGUUAGGAUUUAGUAUUGCUGGUGGUGAGGGUUCACCACCAGUUAAAGACAAUAGUGAUGCUAUAUAUAUUUCGAGGAUAACUGACGGUGGAGUUGCACAAAAAGAUGGCAAGUUAUUAGUCGGAGAUAAAGUAAUAUCUAUUAAUGGAGUUGAAAUGAGAGGAGCCAAACAUGAACAAGCGGUAGCUUUACUUACGGGAUUGGAAAGAUUUGUUCGAUUAGUUGUUGAACGUGAAAUGCCACUUUCUCAAGCAAAUCCAGCUACAAUAGUAACUCCAUCCGAGAAAUCACCUCGCGUUAUUGGUGCACCUAGACCAUAUACAGGGUUAUAUAAUGCUAAUAGUUAUAUGGCAAAUAGACCAGCUUAUGCUGGUUAUCGUCGUUCCAUGGAUGCUGAAAAAACUUUAUCUCCGAGUCCUACUUCAAAAACACCGCCACCAUUAAAAUCAGACAUGAUGAAUGCAGCACCAAAAAUGAAUGGCAUUAGUGAUCCAGGAAAUAACGUUAAAAGUGUUCCUUCUGUGCCACUAAGUCCAACAAAUAGUCAAAUUUAUCCGCAACCUGCUCCAAGGCACAGUGUUACACAGGCAAUGGCAACAUCUACGACUAAUACUAAUUCUACACCUACGUCUUCAACGGAACCUAGACCAACAUCCCCGUUGGAAGAUAUACAGGUACCGAAGCCAAUCACCAACGAGGAAUUUCAAGCCAUGAUUCCUGCUCAUUUCCUUCGACAUCCAACAUCCUCACCUUCACCAGAUUCCCAUCAAGGUCCUAUUGUGACAGUGACGAUCAAGCAACCUGACAAUCUACCUGGAGAUGUUAACUUUCCUCCAGCUCCUACAACAAUUGGUAAAGUUACUGAAACCAUCACAAAGAGUACGCUCACAGAGACCGUCGUUACUAGAGUGACUGACAAUCAACUGGUGCAACCAGUUAUUAUCGAGGAUGUCGUGUUGGUGAAAGAAGGAUCACUUGGAUUUAGUAUAAUAGGAGGAACUGAUCAUUCUUGUACUCCAUUUGGUGCAAAGGAGCCUGGAAUUUUUAUAUCUCACGUUGUAUCUGGCGGUAUAGCAGCAAAAUCUGGUAAGCUUAGAAUGGGCGAUAGAAUAUUAAAGGUAAAUGGAACUGAUGUAACAAAAGCAACUCAUCAGGAAGCUGUAAUGGAACUUUUACGACCUGGAGAUCAGAUUGUACUUACCGUACAGCAUGAUCCUCUUCCAGAAAGUUACCAGCUGGUCGAAAUAGAGUACAUCCCUGUGACAGAAUUGGUAAUUAUAAAAGAACCAGGAGAAAAAUUGGGAAUGCAUAUUAAAGGAGGACUUAGAGGUCAAAAAGGCAACCCCCUUGAUCAUACGGAUGAAGGAGUUUUUAUAUCUAAAAUUAAUUCAGGUGGAGCAGCUAAGAGAGAUGGUAGAUUAAAGGUCGGUAUGAGGUUGUUAGAAGUCAAUGGAACAUCUUUAUUGGGUGCAACUCAUCAAGAAGCUGUAAACAUUCUUCGGUGCUCAGGAAAUACAAUUACUUUGGUAGUUUGUAAAGGUUACGAUAAAAACGAAGUUGAGUCAGUAUUACCAUUAUCCGAUGGCAGAGAUUCUAAAGAAUCAAGAGUCUCGCGAGAAUUUAAAGAUCCACCGACAGAUGAUAUUAAAUCAUUAUCACAAAGUAUAUCAAGCUUGGAUCGUGACGAUGAAGAAGCAGCAACACUUAGGCAAGAACAAGAAAUGAAAGCAGAGCUUGUAGCAUGGGAACAAGAAGAGAGGGAGAGAGCUUUAAUUGAACAAAGGGAGAAAUCCACUCCUGAGAAAGUUCUAGACGUAGUGAGAGCGGCAGAAUCCUUAGUACAUAAAUCAAGUAGUCCAGUUGAUAUGGUUGUACCACCGAAGUCCCCAAGUGGUACAAAGGAUCUCAAAACUACCACGAUCGUGAUGAGUAAACACACGUUAGCUCCUCAGAAUCCAACAUGGAAAGUACAAAUUGGAGGAUCAAUGGAUCGUUCUUCAACAAAAUCUCCGGUUUCUACUCUUACUACAACUACAAAUUUCAAUCGCUCUGCUUCUACCCAAACACUACCUUCCCCAAAAAAGAAGAGUUCUGCAGUACCUAAACGUAGCAUUACAUUUGCUGAUCUUCCACCAGUUUCUAAAGAAAGCACAGUUAGUGUUCCCUUCUCGCCUACUGUAAAAUCUAAAUCAUUAUCCAAAGAAUCAUUCCCAUCCAUGCAUGAAACUUUUCUAACAGAACCACAACAACAACAACAACAGCAACAACAACAACCUCAGAUAUCUUCCUAUUCAAAAAAAAUGUAUCCAAAUCCAAUACAAAUUACUCAACCACGUUUUCAACUUCCUCCUACACCUUUGACUGCUCCUGAAUAUAUGGGGAAAUUAGGUUCUUCUUCAACUUGCUUUAACAAACGACAGAUAGCACGUUCUGUUGAUGGAAAGGUUCGGGUUGAGGAGCUUUCACCGACAUCAUCUCCAUCACCGUCACCAGUAAAAAUGUCAGUCAGUGAUAAGAAGAAAUUGUUUGAAAGUGCCAUGGAAGAACAUCUUAAGCCUUCUCCUAAACCAGAAAAAGUAUUUAGCUUUUUAAGUCAAGACGAAGUUGAAAAGAUGAAACAAGAAGAAGAAAAGAAAAUUGCGACAUUAACAAGAGAUGAAUUAAAAUCAUGGGCCCAAUUGGAUGAAAAUGAAGGUCUUGAAGAUUUGGAAGAUACGAUAGAUCAGGAUAACAGGCGUCCUAAUAGCAGACUGAGUUCGCGAAGUUCGGUCGCUCUUCUGCAGAAUAUACCAAGCACAGUGAGGACAGCAAAAGCAGAACGUCGAUUGAAGGAGAGAAUGAUACAAGAGGGCUUGAUUUCGGAUGAAGAUGAAGAAAGCCAUUUAACUCCCGCUGAACAACGAGCCUUACGAGCAGAAAAACGCGCUGCAUGGAGGCAAGCUCGUUUAAAAUCACUUGAACAGGAUGCUCUUCAGGCUCAAAUAGUUAUUAAAAAAAUGAGUGAAAUGAUGGAUACUACGGAUAAAGCUGAAAUGUUGGAAGAUAGGGCAGAUCCUUAUCAUGUUUCUGAUCAAGAAAAGAUCACCGAAUUCACUACGUUACGGCCGUCUAGCGCAGAUUUUCCUAAACUUGCUGUCCGCAGCAAAGUGGGUCCUCCUAAAGAAAUACGUGAAUCUGAGAAAGUAGUGGACGAGAAGGUCACUCGCCGUACUGAAGAAUAUGUGGAUGAGGUGACAGGUGAACGUCGUGUACGAACGGUCGAAUACGUCGAGAAGCUAAUUGAGCGACAGAAACCAACUCUCACACUGGAUUUGCAACCUGCACCACCUUGAGCAAAUGAUUUCAUUUCCACAGUUCACUAACAAAAUCUUCUUAUAUACUAUUGGUUGAAACUUUGAGAGAGAAAAUUAUAUCGUUGGAAUUAAGUAAUGCCGAAGAUGAAAUAGAAAGCAAAACUGGCACUGGAGCAAGUGAUGCUGAAAGUGAAAAUGAGGAACUUGCAAGUCAGCGUUCUGUCACAGAUACGCUUCAAGAAAAAACUGAUUCUCUUAUUUCAACUAAUGCAACUGAAGGUGCUUCAUCCAAGCAAAACACAAAUAUUAUUGUUACUACGACAAAGAAAAAGAAACGAAAACAAGGUAGAAAAAAAAAUCGGCAUUGAGAGUAAAAUAAAAAAAAAAAGGCUCUAA
rnacentral:misc_RNA from 1 species